GGGGUAUAGCUCAGUUGGUAGGGUGCUUGCCUCACAUGCACAAGGCCCUGGGUUCAAUCCCCAGCAUUGCCCCA
rnacentral:tRNA from 1 species